rnacentral:rRNA from 1 species
GAAAGCUAUUUAGGUAGCGCCUCGUGAAUUCAUCUCCGGGGGUAGAGCACUGUUUCGGCUAGGGGGCCAUCCCGGCUUACCAACCCGAUGCAAACUGCGAAUACCGGAGAAUGUUAUCACGGGAGACACACGGCGGGUGCUAACGUCCGUCGUGAAGAGGGAAACAACCCAGACCGCCAGCUAAGGUCCCAAAGUCAUGGUUAAGUGGGAAACGAUGUGGGAAGGCCCAGACAGCCAGGAUGUUGGCUUAGAAGCAGCCAUCAUUUAAAGAAAGCGUAAUAGCUCACUGGUCGAGUCGGCCUGCGCGGAAGAUGUAACGGGGCUAAACCAUGCACCGAAGCUGCGGCAGCGACACUGUGUGUUGUUGGGUAGGGGAGCGUUCUGUAAGCCUGCGAAGGUGGCCUGUGAGGGUUGCUGGAGGUAUCAGAAGUGCGAAUGCUGACAUAAGUAACGAUAAAGCGGGUGAAAAGCCCGCUCGCCGGAAGACCAAGGGUUCCUGUCCAACGUUAAUCGGGGCAGGGUGAGUCGACCCCUAAGGCGAGGCCGAAAGGCGUAGUCGAUGGGAAACGGGUUAAUAUUCCCGUACUUGGUGUUACUGCGAAGGGGGGACGGAGAAGGCUAUGUUGGCCGGGCGACGGUUGUCCCGGUUUAAGCGUGUAGGUGUGUGUUCCAGGUAAAUCCGGUUCACUUUAACACUGAGGCGUGAUGACGAGGCACUACGGUGCUGAAGCAACAAAUGCCCUGCUUCCAGGAAAAGCCUCUAAGCAUCAGGUAACAUCAAAUCGUACCCCAAACCGACACAGGUGGUCAGGUAGAGAAUACCAAGGCGCUUGAGAGAACUCGGGUGAAGGAACUAGGCAAAAUGGUGCCGUAACUUCGGGAGAAGGCACGCUGACACGUAGGUGAAGUGAUUUACUCACGGAGCUGAAGUCAGUCGAAGAUACCAGCUGGCUGCAACUGUUUAUUAAAAACACAGCACUGUGCAAACACGAAAGUGGACGUAUACGGUGUGACGCCUGCCCGGUGCCGGAAGGUUAAUUGAUGGGGUCAGCGCAAGCGAAGCUCCUGAUCGAAGCCCCGGUAAACGGCGGCCGUAACUAUAACGGUCCUAAGGUAGCGAAAUUCCUUGUCGGGUAAGUUCCGACCUGCACGAAUGGCGUAAUGAUGGCCAGGCUGUCUCCACCCGAGACUCAGUGAAAUUGAACUCGCUGUGAAGAUGCAGUGUACCCGCGGCAAGACGGAAAGACCCCGUGAACCUUUACUAUAGCUUGACACUGAACAUUGAGCCUUGAUGUGUAGGAUAGGUGGGAGGCUUUGAAGUGUGGACGCCAGUCUGCAUGGAGCCGACCUUGAAAUACCACCCUUUAAUGUUUGAUGUUCUAACGUGGACCCGUGAUCCGGGUUGCGGACAGUGUCUGGUGGGUAGUUUGACUGGGGCGGUCUCCUCCUAAAGAGUAACGGAGGAGCACGAAGGUUGGCUAAUCCUGGUCGGACAUCAGGAGGUUAGUGCAAUGGCAUAAGCCAGCUUGACUGCGAGCGUGACGGCGCGAGCAGGUGCGAAAGCAGGUCAUAGUGAUCCGGUGGUUCUGAAUGGAAGGGCCAUCGCUCAACGGAUAAAAGGUACUCCGGGGAUAACAGGCUGAUACCGCCCAAGAGUUCAUAUCGACGGCGGUGUUUGGCACCUCGAUGUCGGCUCAUCACAUCCUGGGGCUGAAGUAGGUCCCAAGGGUAUGGCUGUUCGCCAUUUAAAGUGGUACGCGAGCUGGGUUUAGAACGUCGUGAGACAGUUCGGUCCCUAUCUGCCGUGGGCGCUGGAGAACUGAGGGGGGCUGCUCCUAGUACGAGAGGACCGGAGUGGACGCAUCACUGGUGUUCGGGUUGUCAUGCCAAUGGCACUGCCCGGUAGCUAAAUGCGGAAGAGAUAAGUGCUGAAAGCAUCUAAGCACGAAACUUGCCCCGAGAUGAGUUCUCCCUGAGACUUAGAGUCUCCUGAAGGAACGUUGAAGACGACGACGUUGAUAGGCCGGGUGUGUAAGCGCAGCGAUGCGUUGAGCUAACCGGUACUAAUGAACCGUGAGGCUUAACCUUACAACGCCGAAG